rnacentral:hammerhead_ribozyme from 1 species
GUACUGAUGAAGAGUCCUAGAAGGUAGGACGAAACGGCUGUCCAGUAC